rnacentral:lncRNA from 1 species
UAUCCCGAAUCACCUUAGAGAUCCUCUCGCUUAUUGCUCUAAUAUCGAAAGCAAGCCCCAUGCGUUUAGAAAACCUUCUCACACUGUUCCUGAUCAUGCCAUUUGUUUUUCCCAAUUCUUGCUUUAGAAGAAAGGUUUCGAUUAUAUCUUCAGCGUCAUAAACAAUUUCCUUUAUCUCUUUGACAGUGUUCCUCACCAUUGCACUUGUAUGUUUCUUGGCAUCUGCAUCUUCCAAAAAGCACCUUAACAUAUUCAAAUCACUUUUUAAUCUAUUAAAUUGCUCUUUAACUCCUUGAAAUCGCUCAGAUUCUCGGACAAGGAGGUCCCAAAGCUUCUCAACUCCAAACGACAAAAGUGUCUCAGCCAUAAUUAGUCUCCUGCUUAACAAUGAAAGUAGUAGUCAAUAAUCACUUGAAGAGGAUCCAUGAGUUCACAAUUCAGAUAUAUUCUUUUGCAAAAUUUACCGAAUAACUAUACUAGUUUUGUUGGAUCUAAUCAACAGAUCUUUCUACAAAGACAUGAACAAUACUGAUAUAAAAAAAAAAAAAAAGGAAUACAAAAAAAUCGAAGUACCUUCCACCACCAAAACUAAAGAGAGAAAAGUAAUAAUCGCCUCCGGAAAUUUGCUUCUCAAUCAACUGAUCUGUUUGUUUUCUAAGGAUAAGAGUUGACUCCAAGUCAGCACCUACUUUUGGCCAGAAAGUCUUCAAGGCAACCUUUGGCCACUUGUUAUUUUUGCAUUGGUUCAGAAAAAAAAAAGGAAACUAAGGUGAGACCUUUAUAUAAUAAAAUGGUCCAGCUUCAGUUUUGGUGGGACCUGAAGAUGGGUUAGUUUACGCACAUGAGGGUAACAAGCGUGGCUGAAGAAAAUUAUUGGGUUGAAAUAGAAAUGUAACAGAAUUAGUGGGCUGAAUAGCUAUAAAUACAGAGGAAAAACUAUUAUAAAAGUAUGCAUUCUAUAGUUUCUAGUGAUGUGCUAUGAAGGUUCACUCUUCUAUACGAUGUAUCAGUUCCUUGUGGUUAACAAUUAGAGAUUAACAGUUUCAUUCUAAUUAUCACAAUCAAUUUGGUAAUAAGAUGCUAAAGCAAUGCAGCUAGCAUAAUGGAUUAAUGAUAAUGUAACAUGAAUUUUUACUAACAACUUUUUUGUACGAAUAAAAAUCAAUUGGUGAUGGGAUAAUAAACCAAUGAAGCUACCAUGAUGGUCACUGCAACUUUAUGGAACAAGUGUACCAACGAGUUUUAACACAUUAGCUACGCGAACCUAAUACUAAGUGAAAUGCAAUACAAAAUUACCAACAGUGAAACACCUUUUGUUUUGUUAUGAGAGACCUCCCCUACCAUGCGUGAAUCAUGUGUCGUCCAAUGUAGCUUCCAUGCUUCUGGGAUCAAGACUUGUACAGCCAGACAGCUUAAGCUCCACCAUAGAUCGCAAGUUGCUUAUUCCAUUUGGUAGUUUCUGAAGCCUUGUGCAGUUCUCAAGAUCAAGCGUAAUAAGUUCAGUGAGAUUCUCGAUUGACAAUGGAAGUUCCUUUAUGGCAGUCCCAGCUAGAUAUAACUCUUUCAAGUUUGGUGCAAAAUCCUGAAUCUCCUCGAACUCUGAGCAGCCAGACAUACGAAGAAGCUUGAGAGAUAUUAACCCAAACAUGGCAGGCAGACUUUGCAACUGAGAACAGUCUUUCAAAUUUAAUGAAACAAGCUUCCCACAACUAGGAAUAGAUGUGCUAACGUCAACCAGACUAAUACAUCCUUCGAGAUCAAUAUGUUCAAGGUUCAAGGCUUCUGAUAACACCAUGACGUCAGUUAAGUUUCUGGAGUGACUCAGUUUAAUUCUCUUUAGCUUCUCGAGAUUCUGUUUAAAACAUCAAUAACCGAAAUGAGUCAUCAAAUGCAAGCUUAUAAAUUAAUGUAAGCAUCUUAAAACACCAUAAUGUCAAUACUUACUUUCUUCCCUUCCCAUAGCUUCUCCAUGUUGCUAUAGGGCAUGUUUACCUCUACAAGGUUCUCAGGAUUAAAUUUCUGAGGCAAGCAUUCCAGAGGGUAAUUCUCCCAAUGAAGUAACCUGAGCUCAUCGGGCAAAGUGUAGAGGCCUUGAGAUAGACUUAGCUUGCACUGGUUCCCAGGGGUGGAAAAAUAGAGCUUCAGCAAUCUUAGUCUAUACAUCUUACUAAACAUAGUAGGACUAAGCUCAUAGUUCAAGUCAGAAGCAUCCAGGAAAAUGCCUUCAAUCGCUUCAGUUCCCUGACGAAGACAAUAAAAACUAAAGUAAGGAUAAUUAUGAAGUAUCAGGAGGUUAAAAGAACUAAGCAAAUGUCAACUUACGGAAUUGCGUGUCAAUACAUUAGCGAUGUCUUUAGAGUCCCACAAUCUGCUACGUUCGCAUGGAUCCUCGCCUUCUUCAUGAACUAUAAAUCGACCAAUAUCUUGAAAAGGAACAGGCAUCUCGAUUUUAUCGUCUACAACGCUAAUGAGAGACUCGUCAAUGAGAUCACAGAUUCCCAAAUAUGUAAGAAACCCGCAAGCAUCAAGUAAUUGCACCACAUGAUCUUUGUUCUCCCCUGUGAAAAAACAUGCAAGAUCCAAAAAUAUGUUCUUUUCGUUUUCGUCUAGUCCACCAAAGCUUUUCUGGAAUUCGUCUUGAAUCUGAGUUGGAGGAUUUCUCCGCAAGCUUUGGAGAUGUUCCUUCAUAUUGCUUCUAUGCUGCUUUGAUACAGAGGAACCCAGAACAUUGAGAGCCAAUGGAAUACCACUACUGCAGCUCAUAAGCUCUGAGAUGACCACAUUUUCUCCAUUCAAAUAUUGCUUGCAGAGACGAGAAGAUUCAAACUCGCAUAACUUUUGGAUCUCGUAUGGCUCUUUAACCCUGCAUUGUACAAGAACUUGUUUUCUCCUAGAGGUUAAGAUGAUUCUGUGUCCAUGAGAAAACCAACAAAACCCUCCAACUACAGCUUCUGCAUCUCUAGCAUUACUCACGUCAUCGAGAACAAGAAGAAUCGUUUUUUCCUGGAACCAGUCCCUCAUGAAACUCGUUUUUAUAUCAGAAGCGCCUAUACUUAGUUUUUCUUCCCCAAAUAUUUUAGAAAAUAAAUCAUCACGCAUUUGCCUCAGCCCUUUUGUUUGACAUGUUAGAUCAAAGUCUUGCAGAAAGUAACACAUAUCAUAUUGUGGAGCUAGAAUUCCAAAAAUUUCUCUAGCAAUAGAUGUCUUACCUAUUCCUGCCAUACCCCAAAUUCCCACAAUUUCAGCAUCUGAAGGAUGGGACUGAUUUAACAAUGCUAAGAUUCUGACCAGAUUCUUGCUAUUUUUCGAAUAUAACCUUAAGCAUGCGUUUCUAACAACUUCCUCAGCAAGCAUAACCUCAGUCCUGCAAAACGCACACAAAAACUAGAAAGUGUUAAUAAGUACAUUGAAUCCUAGAAAAGUUUCCAAAGGAACAGUUUCCCCAUUGCAAAAAUUGUCAAAUAGUAAAGGCAAAAUUAAAAGAAAUCAAGUUACCCUUUUGUCCAUUCAUGUCCAUCAAUGGAUUCUAUUUCAGCCAGAGCCAUCUUCCAUUUCUGAACUCUGUCUUCCUGGACAGAACUCUGAAGGUGCAGAAAUGCUGCUUCAGACAUGCCUUUCAACCCACAAAUGUGUUGAAGUGUCACUUUAAAAUAUAUAGGGAUAAUUACAAUGUCUUUCGCUUUCCAAUGCUCCAUGAUUGCCACAAGAUGAUCCAAGGACUGUUUAGAACAAACGUAACUAUUUGAAAAUACCAUAAUACCAACACUAGAUCUGUUUAACAUUUCUACGUUCAAGUUCUCUCUUCCUGAAAGAUUAUACGUCAAAGGUGUGAUCCCUCGCUCGUGCAACUCUUUUAAGAUGGCUUCCAUGAACUGUGUCUCGUCCACAUCAUGGCUGUCAUUGCAUGAAAAGACUGAUACGCAUUCUGGUUGAGCCAUCUCUUUCGUAGAAUCAUGGCUGCGAAAAGUAUUUUCCUUCCGUUUUGUGUCUAAUGCCUCACGCAUGGCAUUAUCCAAAAAAACUUCACUUGUCUCAGCCCUGUGAUCGCUUAUAGUAAGAUUUUCUAUGUGUCUCAGUUCACCUAGAGAUGAAGACAGAGUUUCCGUAGUACACCCGCUAGUAAAUUUAACAAAAGGGAUGUGCUGGACUUUGUAAUAAUCUACUCCUCCUUUCGACAGUCUCUCCUUCCAUUCCUUUCCCAUAAUCAGAUCCUUUAAAGAAAAGAUGAAUUGCAGCCCAUUAGGGAACUCCUUUAAUUUCUUACAGUCACUAAUAUUCAGAGUGUGAAGAAGGGGCAUGGAGCCUUCUUCUACUAUCCACUCUUCCCACUCCAGUAGUCCCCAUAUUGAAAGCAUAUGCAAUUUAAGAAACCCGCCGCCCGAACAAACCAUUCUCUUCCCACAAAAAGAUUUAAAUGAUAAUUUGACCCGAGAUAAGUGAAGCAGCUUCUCUAGAAUCGGCAUCGGAUCCUCCUCCAAAUGACAAAUCUUCAGAUUUAUGGUUGUAAGGUGAGAAGGAAAAUAUUGCACAUCAGGUAACUUUGGCAUAUAUAUGCUCAACUGCAGGUGUUUAAGAUGAACACAAUCAAAAAUUAAUCCUUCCUCAUCACUCGUGUAACCAUCAAUAGUAAGAUUUUCCAAGUGUCUAAGUUCACUUAGAGAUGAAGAUAGGGUUUUCUUAGUACACCCCUUGCCGUUGAAUAAGAUUGAGAGAGUCUCGAGCUUUGUCAAACAGUGAAGAUCCCUCACGCUGCUAUGCUUUGUUGAGAAAUUCUCCAACGUCUCCAAGUUGAUUAGAUUACCUAAUUCCAACUUUGUCUUAUCAUGCAUUUCAUCCGGUAACCAAAGGUAUCUCAGUUCUUUCAUCUCUUUCAAGAUAUUAGGCACAUUCAGUGGAGAUCCCGCUUUUACUUUCAGAUUCAAAUAGAGGAGUAACGUUAGGUUCUCCAGAGAAGAGGGUAGAUAAGAUACCUUCGCCAUAUAUAAACUCAAAUAUCUCAAGUGGAUGAGCUUUCCAAUGCUAGAGGGUAACUUCCCUCCUUUAAACUCCACUCCAAAAAGAUCUAACACCCUCAUCAAAUGUACCUUUGUAAAGCAUAAACCUGAUGCCAUCCACAUUGAGCCUCGCAAUGAGAGAGAUCUAACUUUUGGAUUCUUUAUAAGAAAUGUAUGAUCACACGAAUGUAUGACGAGUCUGCGAGGUUCACUAUGAUACCAAGAGUCUGAAGUUGAGGUAAUGCUACUUGCAUCAAUAAUUUGUAGGAAAUUCUCUUCUUUAGCUUUAUACAAACAAAUCUCUCUCACCAUCUCAUGCAAGCAACAUGUCUCAAAUCUCGAAGUAUGAAUGUCUCGUUCUGAAAUAACCAUAUUUCUCUUCACCAAUUCUUCUAUGUAUUCAUCUGCGACCUCUCGAAUGGUCGCUUCAUCAUAAUACCUCGACUUUGGUAUUCCUUCUGCGGCCCAAUAAUAGGACAAUUCUCUGACAUCUAUUGCAUAAUCUUCUUGAAAACGGGCAAGGUAGAGGAAGCAGUGCUUCAGAGAAAUAGGCAGCUCUUCAUAGCUCAGAGACAAUAUUUGGUCAACAGGAGUGUUAUUGCUGUCAUUGAAGUGAGAUUUAAUAUUCGCACAUACCCUUUUCCACUCACUUAAUGUGUGUUGGACAGCUAACAACCCUCCUAACACUUUGAUGGCCAAUGGUAGUCCGUGACAAUGUUCGAUCAUCUUCUUACCCAGCUCUUCCAUUUCUUCAUCAAUCUUAUAUUCUACACAUGACAUCAUCAAGAUAUGGUGAAAUUACAUGAUGUCUAUUCGAGAAAUAUUAUUUAGGAAAUUCGGACAGUGAUCAUCCUAAGUAAAAAGUGCUCGAUUAUGAUCGAUAUAGAAAACAAAAAUUAAUUAAACAGUCCUAAAGCUUACCGGUAGAGUUUUCUCUAGGAAAUGCUAUCCUUUGAAACAUUGUCCAACUUUCUUCAGGGGUUAGGAGUGUUGGUUUGAAGGUGACACAUCUUCGAUCUGCUCGCAAUCCCACACUCUCGUUGCGAGAAGUAAGAAGUACCUUCCAACCUAAACAAAAUAUAACUAUUUUUUAUAUACCUCCUUAACCGAAAAGAACAUAAUGCUUUAUGACCAAUAUGUGUGUCUCGUUCUGCAUGCCCUUUCUCUUUUUUUGUACUUAUAUUAAAAAGGAGAAUAAAUUCAUGUAUGUAUGAUAGAGUGUCACCUUUUUUCCGUGGAAACAUUGGUUUAAUUAUGUCCCAAUCUUCUUCUCUCCAUAUAUCAUCAAGGACAAUCAAAGUGUUUUGUGUUUCCAACACUUGAAAGAGUUUUUCUAGAAGUUCGUUUUCUAGCAUCUCUAACACUUUGUAUUCUGGCCUUAGUUUCCGCAAGAUCAUCUGCCACACAUGCUUCCUUGUAAACUUUUGUGUAACAAAUACCCACGCGAGUCCUGCAAAAUGACAUUGUAUAGUCUUACGAUUAAAAACUUUUCUUGCGAGGGUGGUUUUACCAAUACCGCCCAUUCCAGUUAUAGAAACCACUUGGCUGCUAUCUUCCUUCACUAAAUAGCCAACCAAUUGCUCAACAGUCUUCUCCAACCCCACAAGAUGGUCUUCAUAAUCGCUGGACAACUUUUGUCGCAUUUCUCUUUGUCCGUCCUGUAGAGACUGCGUAUACCUUUCAUUGACCAUGACCUGUUGUACGCCAAGAAUCUGCAUAUCGUGAAUCACUUUAUCGAUCCUCUUACUUAUGGCUCUUAGAUCGGAACCAAGUUCCCUAUGGUCCACUAUAACCAAGGCCAAUCUUUUCACACGGUUCCAAAUGCCACUUGUCUUUCCAGCUUCUUCUUUUAGAAGAAAGGUUUCGAUUAUAUCUUCUGCGUCAUAAACAAUUUCUUUGAUGUCUUCCACAGUUUUUCUCACAAUUGCACUUGUAUGUUUCUUGGCAUCUGCAUCAUUCAAAAAACCCCUUAACCUUUGUAGAUGUUCUUUAACUUCAUUAUAUUGCUCUUUUACUCUUAGGAAUCGCUCAGAUUCUCGGACAAGGAGGUCCCAAAGCUUCU